UGUUGUAAUAUUCUUUUGAUAGGGGAGGCAUUUUUUGGCUGCUGUUAGUGGGCUAGCCGAGGAUUUCCUGUGUCUGUAUUUUUUUUUUUCCUUGCAGUCUAGGAACUGGCAAGAGUAUAGUACGAAAUAUUUAAUACCGAUAUCUUUAAUGCCGUUUGCUUUAAUGAAACCAUAAACCCUCUGCUUUUAUGAUUUUUAAGUCUCGAUGUCGGUAGUUGGGAAGUCCAAUUAUGAAAGGGGUGUCAAAGGUUCAACCUCAAAGUAGCUUGUGUGCUGCUUCCACUCUACUUUCAUAGUGCUCGAGUUCAAACGUUUAAAAGCUCAUUCUUAACCGGGCCAUUGGGCCAGUUUCGGUUCCAGUAAAAGGGAGAAAUUGAAUCGUAACCACAACCUCCCCCAACGUUUUGGUUUGAUCUUGUCUAUUUUUUUCCCAUUUUUUUUUUAUAAAUUUUGAAACGAAAAAUAACAGUUUGGUGUGGAUUCGAAAUGGAUGGUUUUGAUUCAAUUUUAAA
rnacentral:misc_RNA from 1 species